AUUGGAAUUCAUGUGGUUGUAUCAUUCUGCUUUAAGUUCACUUAUUAGACUGUUUGCGGAUUCUCAUUUUCCAAAUACUUCGUAGCCUUUCAGUGUUUCAAGACGAUCGAUUUGAUUCUUUCUGUGAUGAAUGCGAUGGUUGCUGUGCGCAGCUUCAACAGGGAUUGGUUGAGGAAGGACCUCUCUGUCAUUGGCUUUGGCCUCAUUGGUUGGUUGGCACCGUCCAGCCUGCCAGUCAUCAAUGGCAACAGCUUGACAGGCCUCUUCUUGGGCAGCAUCGGACCCGAGCUGGCUCACUUCCCUACAGGCCCAGCCCUUACAUCGCCAUUCUGGUACGUUCACAAUUCAACAUCUGUGUAUUCAGUGUUAUCAGACUCAGAGAGACCUUAAUGUUGUAUCGCGGAGUUUGCAGACUUUGUCUAUGGAGAAACGUGGGUUUCAGAUGAUUGUAGUGUUGAUCUAAAAUGUGGUGCUCUUGAACCAGGUUGUGGAUGGUCACAUGGCACGUGGGUUUGUUCAUCGUGUUGACUCUUGGCCAGAUCGGGUUCAAAGGCCGCCAGGACGGCUACUGGUGAGUGAGGGCAAUCAACAUUACCUGAGAUGUGUGCGAAAGUUCUCAUGGGUUCCGUAGUGGCAUGCUGGGAAGAUCGAGAAUAACUGUGGAUGGGGGACUCGUUACUAAUGUGUUGUGUUGUGCAGGAGCUAAGCCUACAGUGGUGCCCAGUUGAUAGAGAUGCAGACGCAGCGCAGUGGAAGUGGAUUAGAAUCGCUGUACCAUUAAAUACUGUAAACAAGGAAAUUCGUAGCGCAACUCAUGUCCAUUCGUUGUUUAUAAGAACAGUUGAAUGUUCUUGAUGUAUGUACUGUGCUGUGUUGGAAAUGUCACGACGCACACGACUGUCAAUCCACUAAUAAUCAUCAAAGAACACAUUUCCUUACGAAAUUCUCUGGCGACCUUAACUUUUUAAUGCAAAGUCCUUAGUUGCAAGAUACGAUGAUUAAGAUGGGUGAAUGUAAGCUCUAGCGUUUCGUGUAAAUUCUUGCACAAAGCAGUGCUGUGACCAAAGCAUAAUGUCUCUGAACCUGGUGGUGUCAAGGGCCUGACCUGAUUGGCCUUGACAAAAUGAACAAUGAAUAAUCUUACUCAUUUCCCAGUUGUAUCACUCGUGGAAAUUCGCAGUUGAUAAGUGUACAUUGUUUCCCAGCUGAUCUUCCCCCUCGCUGUCCUAAGUUCUUUCCUAAUAAUAAGUCUGGAAUUAUACAAAUAGGAGUCCGGUUAUUACGUAACAUCUGUCAUCUGCUAGACAAACAAUUCACAGUCGGGAGCCUCAUAAUGGAUAAGUGCACUUCUUCGAAUCGGAAUUUUGUCUGCUUAUCUCGAUAACAAUUAUCAUUACUAUGAGUUAUCACUCAGUAGUGGACGGGGUUUGUGACAACUAGGUCUUAUCAUGUAGAAUUGAAGGUAAAGCUUCAUCAAUGUCAGACAACGGAACAUGUUGCUGAAAGCUAUAAGAAAGCGAUGUUCUGUACUCUGAAACCGUUCGCACUUGUCCACUAAAAAUGGUGUCUGGUUUUUACGGAAGUUAAAAUGACUCGAGACUUUCGAAGGAUUUGAAUUACCUUUGAAUUCUAUUUCACGUAGUCUAUUGUUUGCUGGACAUAGUCUAGGAAUCAUGUCCAUGAAAAUUAAGCAAAGUGGAAUUUUUAAUAAAUUUUCGUACUAUUUUAUUUUAGUGUGCACUGGUAUUUCGCUGGUACAAAUUAAAACUUUGAAAGCAAUUUCAGGGGGACUUGAUGGGUUUGUAAAUAUGUUAUUGUGUUUUUACACUGUAUGUAUACCCCAAAAAAAUGUAUAUCCAUGUAUCUAUAGUUUUAUAUACACGAACGAAUAAAAUAUUUUGUUGUUUACACCCAUUUGAAUAUUUCAUGACGAGUUCGAUUGUGACAUAUUAUUCUUAACAUGAAUUACAAUCUAAGAACACAUCGUUUCAUGCAGGACCCGCUUUGAAGACAUUCCUCCUAAAGAAAGCAGAAGAUUUAAGAUAAACGCAACUUCAAACCAUGUUAACUAACAACUAGUUAAAAACCAUGUAAACCAUGUUGAAGACCAUGUUAAAACCAUGUUAACUCACAACUAGUUCCAUGAUAGUGGCUGAUUAUGAUCAUUCUGAUUAAUCUGAUUAUUACUUUAAAUAGUAAGAUUGUGGCAUUUGAGAAUGCGUUAUAUGAAUUUCACCAACACAGGUCUUCCAUCUAUUUCAUGUUAUCAUGCAUGUUGUUAGAACAUUACAGUAUUGCAUGAUUGAAAGGGUCUCAUGGCCACACUCGACGGUAGAAUUCCAGUCAAUCAUACGUUCUGCUAUUUGCACAGUAAACGAAAUAGGUCAUUCUUGCACCACAAUUUGCAGCAAAGUUGUAGUUCCCAGCCUCUCAAAAAGCAGAAACAAAGACAAAUCAAUAACACAACAUCAUCCGAACUGAACCCAAUUUGUGAUAUGCAUGUUUUAUCUGACGCAGGCAGAACGAUCACUUCGGUUCUGCUGGAACUCGCAUGCUGCGUUGUCUCGUUGUGGCAGUCCAGCGGAUUGCGGGGUUGCAUUAGCCAAAGCCGGAGGAUCCCAGAAGGCGAAGGGUGCUGCUGCGGAGCGACCCUUAUCCGGAGCAAACCGUGGCAACCAAUCACACCUCAUCUCCUCCGUCUCGCUGUUCUCUCCCAUCAUCCCAGCACCCUAGCGCUCCAUACUUGUAAGCGUGCCUUCGCUAGCUCUCCAGCAUCCGCCAACGCCCAUCUACGAAGCUGUGUUGACGCGCUGUGCAACAUCUUUCUAUUCAACGUAAGUUUAUUCUCCAAGAGCUCGUUCCCUUCAAAUUGCUUGGUAGGUGGUCUUGAGUUAUUGCCCUAGGUCCUGUGUCUCUGCUUUCUGAGGGUGUGACAGCUUUUUGCUGAUCUAUUGGCCAUGGUGGCCUUGAUGGGUAGCUUUCCAAUCGGGAGUAGUAAUGUUUUCCUCGUUGCUUCGGUUGGUUAUAACUAGUUACCUCAGCAUUUCCUCAGAUGCGUUUUAUUCUAUUUCAUGGUUAUCGCUGUAGAUGUUUCUUGUUGGAUUAGCAGGUACCGUUAAACUAGGAGCGUUUGCUGUCUGUGCAGCUCUUACGUUCCUGCAUUUCGUCUGUUAAGUGUAUUUAGCAUCAGAACUAUGCUUGAAUUUGCUAUGGUCUUGCUCUCUUCAAUUGGCUCGCUUCUUCUAGGCUUAGUCUCACGUGCCGAGUGCAGUGAUUUCGAAUUGAUCUGAAAUGCGUGUCGGUUCAAGAUGGGUGGAUGAUGAGCAAUCACGCUGACUUCCUGUGAUAUGCGCAGUCGUCGACAUGGCAAUGACUGCUACUUCAAUGGCCAUGCCUGCCGUUGCCGGUCUAGGAAGCUCUUCCAUCUUGGCUAGGAGAUCCCCGAAGUUGCAGCUGACCUCAGGUGUGUUGCUUUCUGGUCUCAUUAAUCCCAUAAGUCCCCAGUUCUCACUUAAAUUUAUGUUUGCAAUUGAUACGACAGAGAAUGUAUCCCUGAAUCUUUCCAAUCCACGAGAAUAACUGAUGCGAGUACGAUUUAUGUGAAUGCAGCGUUCGUCGGUGGAGCCAUCAAAGUGAACAAGCCCCUCUGCAUGUCUCGCGUCACCUGGUGUGUACACUAUACUAAAAAAAGAUUUCCUGUAAUUUUGCAAUGCUGAUUGUAGGCAUGUACUAGUGCCCGCAACACAGUUGCAUGCUACCAAGUGGAGAUAAUACAAACCCAUCUGAUGUAAUUCUGCUGAGUGAGUUCUGUCAAUAUGACCGUUCUCUCUGAUCGAUGCCCUGGGUUGGAUUUCUUAGUCUGAUAAAUAUCUGUACAAUCCUUCAAUAUCAUGUCACAUUACCCUCUGGCCCUCUGUCCUACUCCUGUAUUACUCCGUGCGUUCACUGACAUUGUUAUUAGGUCCAUUGUCAUUUACCGUACUGGUUGGGGUGCGCAGCUUCAACAGGGACUGGUUGAGGAAGGACCUCUCCGUCAUUGGCUUCGGUCUCAUUGGUUGGUUGGCACCAUCCAGCUUGCCAGUCAUCAACGGCAACAGCUUGACAGGCCUCUUCUUGGGCAGCAUCG
rnacentral:lncRNA from 1 species